CCCCCGGCCCCGCUCCUACCGUGCGGGGGGCAAGUGAGGGAGGGAGCGAGGAGGUGGCAGUUACCGGCGAGCGAGCGCCCUUCUUGCAGAGCGGUCCCCUGAAGACGCCUUUGAUGCCGCGGUAGUGCCCGUUGCUGAGGUGCCGGGAGCUGAUGACCAGGCGAGGAGCCAGGCGGGGAACACCAUCCCGCUACCGUGCCGGGGACGAGAGCGGGCACCGUCACUCCGCAGCCGCGUUAACGGGAAGCAGUGCUGCUCCGGUUCCCGCUGCUAGCUGCAAGCGCAAAGUAGCCCAGGACCGUGGGGAAGGCUGCCCGGACAGCCCUCGGCUUGUGGCUGAGCUCGUCUCCAUCGUUCCUACUGAAAGCUCGUGAUUUUAGGUGUGUGGUUCUAUUUACGACCUAAAUGAUUUACACAGAAUCGCAGGUGUGACACUCUCCCACCACUAAAUAGCUGAAACAGAUUGCCCUUUUGCUGCUUCUUUCUGCAGGAGACCUGCGCGAUGCACCUCGGACCUGCCCGGGCACUACUCAGCUUCUUUUCGCCAGCACAAGUAUUGUUAGUGCUCUGCUACUUACGAAGUCGAUAAAAUAAAUCAAUCAAACACACGGUUUUAGUAGCUGCCUGCAGAUCAUGCAUUUCUUCGAAGUAGAUUACUUUAAAGUGUAGAUAAGAAUUAUUUCAGAUUAUUCAUUUAAUCCUGUAAAAGCCUAUGUUUUCAGAUAUUUAGAGAAUGAAACUGAUAAACCACACUCAUUCUGAUUUUAACCUCUCAAAAGCUAACAUUCUAUGAACCUAACAUAAAUAAAAUCUCAUGCAAGCCACCGAACUGUAUAGAUAAAAAGGCCAUGACAAAUCAAAUGUCAUUUUUGUGGCUGUGUAUGUAAAAUAGUGUUGUACAGUCUUAGAAUAGUGUUUAACAUACCAUAUAAAAUUUGAUUAUAGUUCUGUAUAUGUACAUGUAUAAAACUGAUCAAAUCUGUUAUUAGGUAUUUUAUUAAUAGAUACAUUAUGUUAUAAAGAAAACCGAAGGCAUCUGAACUUGGAAUAACCAAAGCUGGAAGUAACAUAUUAAGAACAUUCAUAUGUUAAGCAUCGUACAUUGUUUUGCAAUGUAAAGAACUGUGGGGUGGGGGUCAAAUUAAGCUGGUAAAACCAGGUGCAAAAUAAACAAAAGGAUUUGGCUCUUUGCAUAAUGUGUGGUUGAGCUGUGGGACUCCUUACCAAAGGGUGCUAUGGAUCACAGAUUAAACAGUCCCAUGAAUCAGUACAGACCAGGCUUUGAGGCCUGGGAGCAAAAAGGUGCCUGCAACAGACCCUGGGAGGACUUUCCCAAAGUAAAAAUUUACAUUGGAAAGUGGCUUUUGAGAAGUUGCACAUAUUACAUGUUAAUUCGAUGGCAAAAAUGAGCUUUUGUGAUGAUUUCCUCCUGCAAGUCACAUUUGAGUGAUUGACUUGAAAUUUAUUCUUGUUGUCAUAUUAUUUAUUUGUUUUGUUAACUACUCAUUCUUUCUGAAAUAACUCCCCUGAAAUGCUGAUACAGAUGAAAGUAUUCAUUUCACUUUGACUUUUGGGCUGCAGCUUGACUUUCUGACUCUGCACUGAAUAUCCAGUUCUGGAAGUAAAGACAAGCACCUUCUUGUUUUUCUGGCAAUGCUUUCCAAAACUUUGCUUCUCUAUGAUGCAGCUGUUAUUUCUUAGAAAGAGAAUUUACGCCUCAUCUCAGCAACUUGCAUAGAGGUCUCAGUUCCUUUUCUGUUUGAAAACGACAUGGUAAAUCCUUUGCUUCACGGAGCUGAUGGUGUUCUAUUAGAAGGUGAGGGAGAGUGUACGGAAGACCCACGCUACAUACAUACAGUGGAGAUGUGUGUUCGCAUGUUGGAGCUACACGGAUAGACUGAGCAGUCCAUCUCAUCUGCAGAGGAGGUUCAGCACAAGCUUGAACUUUGCAAGAGCUCCACUGUAGAUUAACGGACAGUACUUUCCUCCUUAAACUUUGAGAGUCUUCCACAGUUCAUUUACUAAGAUUGUAUGAAAGGGAAAUUAUUUGCUCCCGACUAGACUGCACAGUAUUCAUUUUAUCCUGCUGAGAAGGAUGAUGUGCUCAAUUGACCCUGCUGUGAAAAGUAGAUGUCAUUUUAGGCUCACUUCACUUUGCAAACUCAGGGGAAUAGUUACUAUGACCACCAAUCUAAUUUAUAAACAAUCUGUAGGACGCAAGCCUGAGAAAAUGAGAGUAAGAGUUGUCAAAUGGAAUGAUUAGACAUUAAUUAUAACACUCCCUGAACAUUCUUCCAAGUCUCUGGAGAUGCUGCACCUUCUUCUCUUUCAUCACAGGUCAUGUGGAAAUAUGAGCCUUAACUAUGAGUAGUUUCAUCUGGGUCCAAUC
rnacentral:lncRNA from 1 species